ACGCAAUAGAUACCCGGGUAGUCCACGCCCUAAACGAUGUCUACUAGUUGUCGGGUCUUAAUUGACUUGGUAAACGCAGCUAAACGCGUGAAGUAGACCGCCUGGGGAGUAUGGUCGCAAGAUUAAAACUCAAAGGAAUUGACGGGGACCCGCACAAGCGGUGGAUGAUGUGGAUUAAAUUCGAUGCAACGCGAAAAACCUUACCUACCCUUGACAUGGAUGGAAUCCUUGAGAGAUUGAGGAGUGCCCGAAAGGGAACCAUUACACAGGUGCUGCAUGGCUGUCGUCAGCUCGUGUCGUGAGAUGUUGGGUUAAGUCCCGCAACGAGCGCAACCCUUGUCAUUAGUUGCUACGAAAGGGCACUCUAAUGAGACUGCCGGUGACAAACCGGAGGAAGGUGGGGAUGACGUCAAGUCCUCAUGGCCCUUAUGGGUAGGGCUUCACA
rnacentral:rRNA from 1 species